rnacentral:rRNA from 2 species
CUUGGUCAUUUAGAGGAAGUAAAAGUCGUAACAAGGUUUCCGUAGGUGAACCUGCGGAAGGAUCAUUAAAGAGACGUUGCCCUUCGGGGUAUACCUCCCACCCUUUGCUUAUUUAUACCUUUGUUGCUUUGGCAGACCCGGCUUCGGCCCACCGGCUCCGGCUGGUCAGUGUCUGCCAGAGGACCUAAAACUCUGUUUGUUAAUAUUGUCUGAGUACUAUAUAAUAGUUAAAACUUUCAACAACGGAUCUCUUGGUUCUGGCAUCGAUGAAGAACGCAGCGAAAUGCGAUAAGUAAUGUGAAUUGCAGAAUUCAGUGAAUCAUCGAAUCUUUGAACGCACAUUGCGCCCUCUGGUAUUCCGGGGGGCAUGCCUGUUCGAGCGUCAUUACAACCCUCAAGCUUUGCUUGGUAUUGGACAUUGCCAGUUUCUGGCAGGUCUUAAAAUCAGUGGCGGUGCCAUUUGGCUUCAAGCGUAGUAAUUCUUCUCGCUUUGGAGAUCCAGGUGGUUACUUGCCAAUAACCCCCAAUUUUUUCAGGUUGACCUCGGAUCAGGUAGGGAUACCCGCUGAACUUAAGCAUAUCAAUAAGCGGAGGA